UACGAGGGGUCCAAGCGUUGCUCGGAAUCAUUGGGCGUAAAGCGGGUGUAGGUGGCUUUGUAAGUCAGGAGUGAAAGCCCUGGGCUCAACCCAGGAAGUGCUUUUGAUACUGCAAAGCUUGAGUGUGGGAGAGGAUCGUGGAAUUCCAGGUGUAGUGGUGAAAUACGUAGAUAUCUGGAGGAACACCGGUGGCGAAGGCGGCGAUCUGGCCCAACACUGACACUCAGACCCCGAAAGUGCGGGGAUCAAACAGG
rnacentral:rRNA from 1 species